UUGUCACAUUCAUUGCUAAGCUGUGUCAGGUUUCAGAGGCGGCUCAAAGGAGUAAAUAAUGAAAAGUCGUAUUAUUAAACGUCUUUUCCCAUAUUGCAAAAGAUUCCAUGGCCUGUUCCCAUUCCAUGCCUUUGGUGAGGUACUUCACCAUCUGGGAUGUUUAUAUAUUUUCUUAUUUAAAAAUUUUUUUCUUUAUUCUUAUAAUUUUUUUUAAUUAAAAAAAAUUUUUAAUUUAUUUUUUAUUUAAAUCUAAGUUAGUUAACAUAUAGUGUAAUAAUGGUCUCAGGAGUAGAACUGAGUAAUUCAUCACUUACAUAUAAUACCCAGUGCUCAUCCCGACAAGUGCCCUCCUUAAUGCCCAUGCCCAUUUAGCCCAUCUGUCCACCUACUUCCCCUCCAACAACCCUCAGUUUGUUCUCUGUAUUUAAGAGUCUUUUAGAGUUUGUCUCUCUCUCUGUUUUUAUCUUAUUUUUCCUUCCCUUCCCCUACAUUCAUCUGUUUUAUUUCUUAAAUUCCACAUAUGAGUGAAAUCAUGUAUCUGUCUUUCUCCAACUGACUUAUUUCACUUAGCAUAAUACAUUCUAGUUCCAUACGCAUUGUUACAAGAUUUCAUUCUUUUUUGAUCACUGAGUAAUAUUCCAUUGUGUGUUGUAUCUAUCAUCUAUCUAUCUAUCUAUCUACCACAUCUUCUUUAUCCAUUCAUCCAUCGAUGGACAUUUGGGCUCUUUCCAUACUUUGGCUAUUGUUGAUAGUGCUGCUAUAAACAUGGGAGUGAAUGUGUCCCUUUGAAACAGCACACCUGUAUCCCUUGGAUAAAUGCCUAGUAUUGCAAUUUCUGGGUCGUAGGGUAGUUCUAUUUUUAGUUUUUUGGGGAACCUCCCUACUGUUUUCCAGAGUGGCUGCACCCAUUUGCCUUGGGAUGUUUAUAUAUUUUCAAAACAAACAGUGAAAGAAUAAGCCAGGAGAAAAAUAAAAAUGGUUACCUAGAAGGGGAAAGAAGAAAUAGGGUAAAUGGAACACAUAGGAAACAAUAGCAAGAUGUGGCAUUUUCACUCAAAUAUAUUAAUUCUAUUAAAAGUAAGUGGUCUAAACAAUCCAAUCAAAAGGAAGAGAUUGCUGAUCUGGAUACUGAAAGCCAGGAACACUGAACUGAUUGGGUAGGAAGGUGAGGAGAAAGGUGAUCCUGUGCUGCAGGACCAAGGACCUGACAAAAUGGCCCCCGAGGGGAACAAGAAGAGGGUUCCCGGCGGGACCAGCAGGGCUGCGGCGCCCCAGCUCCACUCCAAGUCACGUGCUGCAGGUAGAACACACCCUUCUAUUAUUCUUAACUCCCGGCUUAUUUCCACCACCAAACCUCAUCUUAGAGGGCACUCUGCAGAAGUUUCACAACUUUUACCAAUAUGUUUGAACUAGUAUGUUUUACCUGACAGCAGAGCUGACUGAUACUUAAGUGGUUCACAGAGGAGGUGAGGUUGACAUUGUGAGCUCACAUACACCUGCUGGUUAUCGACCGUCUUCUCCAGAAGGUCUGUCUUUUACGUAAUGUACUUAUGGCGAGGCAUCAGUUGAAAAUGCAAAGACUAAACUGAAUUGGGCUAAUGUGAAAUCUUGGUGGAAAAUAUUUGAAUAAAGUUCUUAUGAAUAUUAAAAAGCACAUUCACAGUACAUUUCUUUAAAAUGAAUAGGAAAAAUUCAACAAAAUACGUGCAAGGCGUGUCUGAUAAAAAAAAAUUCAUAGUGGUGCUGACAGAAAUUAGCAAAGGCCUCAAUGAAAGAGUUUGGGGGAAUGUUUUGGGGAGUAGGAAAUGUUCUAUAUCUUGAAUGUCGUGCUGGUCACAUGGGUAUCAAAAUUGGUCAGAAAGUUUUGAAAUCCAUACUUAAAAUGGAUACAUUUUAUGGUGUGUAUGUUAUGCCCCAAGAAAGUUGCUUUUAAAAGUUGCAUAAUUGUAGUAUUCUGGAAGGAGGGGGUUACUGAGUUUCCUACCAAGUUUCUAGGGAAGGGACAGCUGUAUGGAGUUAUGAACCCUAACAAGUCUCUGGGUCUGGUUCAAAGAAAUGUGUUGGCCCAGAUGGUCAGGGUUCACAUGAAAGACGGGUGACCUACCCAUUAUCCUUUGCCAGGUAAAAGCACAGAAUUACAUAUUUUCAUAGAGAUUGUUAAAACUGCACCAGAUUCAUGGGGAAAAAAGGUAUCUUGGCUCUUUCCUUCUUUUCUUUGCCAGAUAUCCUGCAAAGUGGGGAACCUGAGCCCUUUUUUUACACUUUCCUUCUCUCUCCUUGGGUUUCUGUCCCCAUCAGCUGUUUUAAACAUCCCUUUCUGCUCACCCAGAGUUGCUGUCUACAGUUUUUUCCUUCUGGUUUAUGCUCCUCCACACUGGGUUUCUGUUAGUUCCUACCUACCUAAUAUACCACAUAUUUCCUGGGCUGGGUCCAUGAUGUGUUUGUGUUCUAAGAAAAGCUGACAUUCAGCACUGUGGAUUCGCUGCUCGCACAGAAAUACAGGGCUGAAUCCCCUGGCUCAGUGGACUUGAUUUUCAGGCUGCAGGGUGAGUUUUUGGGGCAUUGAGCCGAAAACUGAUCUUCAAACUUCUCUAUCUUAUCAACAAUAUCUUCACUCUGUAUCUAGGACUCUGGGUGACCUGGGUGUCCAUGGAGCCUGUGGAGGAAAGAGACAGAAACUGGAGAAAAAGCCCAGGAGGCAGACUGAUACUACAGCCACGGGAGAAAGUCCAGAAACGGAAUCCAAGAAGCUUACCUGCUCCCCAGAAAAAAAGGGCCACACAGCAGAGAAGUCUGAAGCACAUGGUGGGCUCAGGGGAAAAGCAAUGGCACACGGCCUUUGCUUUAAGGCUUCCCCGUCCCCAUCAGAACCUCCCUGUGACGCGAUCGCUUGCCGUUGCCUUCACAGCUGCUGUGUGUACGAGUCCAAAAUAUUUCAUAGGAUGUGGGAGGGCAGGGAGAGCUGCUGAAAACCACUAGGGUGAGUUUCAACCUGCUUUCAUUUUCUUUUUCCCAGACUCUGUUCUUUUGCUACUUUUUAUAAAGUCACUUACACAUUAUUCACUUCUUUGCUUUUUAACGUGUCAAUUUGCCUUCUCCCUUUCAUCUCAGGCAAUGAAUCACAUAGCGUCGUGUAUAUCAAUCAUAGUUUUGCCACACUGAGCUGAGCAGUUACUUUAUAUGAAAAAAUGUUGAACUAUACAAAACAAUAUUUAUGACAAACGCGUGAUGCAUCUAGGGAAACAAUAGAAUGACUACUCUCGCCUGAGGCAAUCAGCUUAGGAAAUGGGUUACGAUUAAGAAUUUAUAUUCUUCCAGUUGUCAUUGUUUUUCUCACCAUGUCCAGGUCUCCAUUGCCCUUUAGUUUAUAUUUUUAUUCUCUGGCCUUUUGUUAUAUUUGUAGUACUUAAGUAAACAUCUAUACGUUACAGAUUAUUUAAUGUUGUAUGUCUUUGAAAUUUAUCUCUGGGGGAUCAUUUUGUUCAUAUUUUCUCUGUGACAUGUUCUUUUUUCCUUCAACAUUAAGUCUGUGAUAUUAAUCUAUGUUGAUGCAUAUAAUUUUAGAUAAUCCGUUUUCACUAAUAUGUAGCAUUCUACUCUACUCCACUCAUUUGCUAAAAUUCAUUAUCCAUUCUUGAAUAAGCGUUUGUUCUAUGUUUUAAUGCUGCUACAAACAGUGCUCCAUUUUCGUACGUUUUCCUGCAUAUCUCGGUGCAGGAUUUCCUCUACACCUGGGAAUUGAAGACUGAGCCUUAAAGUGUCCAUGUCACUUACAUAAUGUGGCAAGAUGCUUUCCACAUUAGUCAAGCCACAUAAAUGGUCCCAUCAACAGUUCGUGAGAGUUUUCAAAUUCUCCACAUCCAAGACUUAAAGAGUAGCUAAUAUCCUUUUAAUGUUGUCAGGUUAAAAUGGAUCCCGCGACACUUCCAUUUGGCAUCUUUCUGAUUGCUAAGGAAGUUGAGUAUAUUUUUCAUAUUUCUAGACCAUGAGUGUUUUCUGUAAAUGGCUCUUUGCUCAUAUUUCUUUGUGGUUGACUAGCUAUUAUUUAUUUGUAACAGUUCUUUGUAUAUUCUGGGAACCAAACCUUUGUCAGUUAUAUAUGUCGUUAAUAUCUCAAUCUGUGGCUUGUGUUUUCAUUCUCUUUGUGAUUUUUUUUGGUUGAAUUUCUUCAUUUGGUAGAGUCUAUCAUUCUUUUUUUGGGGGGGGACAUACAUUUUUAAAUUUUUUAUUAAAAUUGCUCCCAUAACCUAAGUUCAUAAAGAUACACUCCCAUUUUAUGUACCAAAACAAUGAGCAUUUAGAAUUUUUCAUUUAAGUGUUUAAUUCAUCUAGAACUUAUUUUUGCUUAUGUUGUAAAGAAGGGUUUCAAUUCAUCUUCCCUUCUAUGGAUAACCACUUAUUCUAGAAUAACUUACUGUCUAUUCCAUCAUUCCCUUAUAUUCCCACAAUGAUGGCUGUCAUAUAUUAAGUGCCUUAUAGGCAUUUAAUCUUCAUAUUAUUUUCUUUUUUUAAAUGUUUAUUUUUGAGAGAGAGAGCACGAGUGGGGGAGGGGCAGAGAGAGACAGAGACACAGAAUCCAAAGCAGACUCCAGGCUCUGAACUGUUGCCACAGAGCCUGACAUGGGGCUUGAACCCACAAGCCAUGAGAUCAUGACCUCAGCUGAAGUCCAACGCUUAACUGACUGAGCCACCCAGGCGCCCCAAGUCUUCCUAUUAUUUUCAAUUUGUCUAUUUAUUCAUGCCUUUCACAUUAUAUUAAGUUAUAAAAUAAUUGGGUGAUUGGUGGGGCAAUCUUUUGUAAAAAAGCAAGAGAGUUAUAUGAUCUGAAGAGAAACCAGAGUAUUGGUAGGGCAAUCUUGUGAUUUUAAUUAGUGCUGCAUUGAUGAUGAUACUGCGGAAACUGGAACACUAUUCCUUUUGGGUUUACUUAUUUAUUUUCAUGGUACGUACCUCCACUUAUUUCAGAUUUUUAAAUUUUCUGCUUCUAAUAUCCUGCAAAUCACCAGGAUAUUCUUCCAACCAGCACCGAAAGUACCUCACCUGAGGUGCCAAAAGCAUCCGACAGCUUCUUAGAUGGAGGAAGAUCUAUGCUUGCUCCUUAGGCAUCGGAGGUUAUUUUACAAGAAGACCCACAUCACCCCCUAGUGGUCAAAGGGGCAAAUUCGUCAGCCCACCUCUGAUCCCUCCCUGCCUUCACCUGCCAGGAGCUUUGGAGGCCACAUUAGAAGUUGCCAUCAGCGUGAGACCCUGUUCCGGGAACUGACGAUACCAAAACACAGUUGUGGCUUGAAUGCCCACCGAAUGGCACUGGAUCACCACAGAGGUUCCACUCUUACGGACAGCUGUCCUUGGAUCCUGAGAGACGAGAGCACCAAGCCCAGAACCUGCUGACACAGAGGUCAAAGAGGUGAAGGAGGCCUGUACCACAGGCGGAAAACUCACGGCACCCAGAGAUUCCUGCUGUUCUGUGAAAUCUUCCUGUUAGACCCCCUAGGACCAUAAUCCCCCACCUCCCCUGCCUGGUGACUUCUCACCCUACCCUUCAUACCUCCAGAGAGCAAGAAUGUCCCCCCUCAUUUUGAUCCGCAUAAAAUAAUCCACAACCUCUGCCUACUGCUCCACUCAUGCCAUCACACACACACACACACACACACACACACACACACACACACUUGCCCCAACUACUCAGACUGUAAGGCUCAUACUGGGCCCCAGGAGCAGCAGAAGCAUGAGCAUCUUCAGAUACUGGCCUCAUAUCACACCUCUCACUGUAUCUCAUU